GACCGACUCGAAGAUUCCGGAUGCGCAAUAUGGCUAUGAGAAAGGACUGACCAUAGCGCUCGCUGCGCUCUCCGGGGCGAAUCGCGUCUGUGA
rnacentral:ncRNA from 1 species